AUUGAACGCUGGCGGCAUGCUUUACACAUGCAAGUCGAACGGCAGCACGGGUGCUUGCACCUGGUGGCGAGUGGCGGACGGGUGAGUAAUACAUCGGAACGUGUCCAGAAGAGGGGGGAUAACGCAUCGAAAGAUGUGCUAAUACCGCAUAUGCUCUGAGGAGGAAAGUAGGGGAUCGAAAGACCUUACGCUUUUGGAGCGGCCGAUGUCUGAUUAGCUAGUUGGUGGGGUAAGGGCCUACCAAGGCGACGAUCAGUAGUUGGUCUGAGAGGACGACCAGCCACACUGGGACUGAGACACGGCCCAGACUCCUACGGGAAGCAGCAGUGGGGGAAUUUUGGACAAUGGGCGCAAGCCUGAUCCAGCAAUGCCGCGUGAGUGAAGAAGGCCU
rnacentral:rRNA from 1 species